UCGCUAGUAAUCGCGAAUCAGAAUGUCGCGGUGAAUAUGUUCCCGGGUCUUGUACACACCGCCCGUCACACCAUGGGAGUUGGAAAUGCCCGAAGUCAGUAACCCAACCGCAAGGAGGGAGCUGCCGAAGGCAGGUCCGGUAACUGGGGUGAAGUCGUAACAAGGUAAC
rnacentral:rRNA from 1 species